rnacentral:tRNA from 1 species
GAGGGUAUAGCUCAGUGGUAGAGCGCAUGUAUAGCAUACACAAGGUCCUGGGUUCAAUCCCCACUACCUCUU